CCGACAACAACACCUUGACCUCACAUUUCACAUCGGUGAACUGUUCCACCUUUGACUUGUACAAAGUCCGUGGGUCCACUGUCCUCGUGUCACGACGCCCACCACAGUUGUAAAGUAUGUUUGAUCCACAACUACAGACUAAUUGGUCUUUGCUCCAUUAUCAUGUACAUCCUCGAGGAGUUAGUUUGUGGACAAGAACUAAUUCCAGUUAUAACUACAUAUUGCAUAUUGAGCUGCUUAAUUUAUAUUGAUUAAUGCGAGUUAUAACUACAUAUUACAUAUUGAGCUGCUUCAUUUUGAUUAAUGCUGAAUUUCUAAUGUGAACUGUGAGUUUAGAUGUCUGUACCUCUUGCAUCUGCUAAUGUGUGACAGCCGAUGAACAGCUGACCUUUGACACUGUCAUGUCAGUGGACUUGUCCUCUCUACUGACAGCUUGUCCACUCAUUUUGGGUUUUCAAAUCGGCAUUGUGCAUGCAACCCAAUAAAAACAACCAACAACAAAACAACCAAACAAAAACAAAAAACAAACCUAUCGUUGUAUGACUGGACGUGGUGUGGACAAGAGCACUUGCACCAGUUUUUUUCCAAAUGAUUUGCGGGGCUGGGGCAGCUUCCUGCUGGAUGUCAUUCAUAUGAUGUGACAUGUUCUACAUUGUUGCCUGUCAUGUUGUGUGCGUCCAUGUCUGUGUGAAUUUUUGUUUGUAAAGAGCCAGGAGCCUGUCCAUAUGACCAAGACACAGCGCCUUAUAAAUUCACUGUUAUAAAUAAUUUUAAAUAAAAUCUGUAUAAAAUAA